UACGGAGGGUGCAAGCGUUGUUCGGAAUUAUUGGGCGUAAAGAGCAUGUAGGCGGUCAGGUGUGUCUGAUGUGAAAGCCCGGGGCUUAACCCCGGAAGUGCAUUGGAAACUGCCUGACUUGAGUCUUAGAGGGGUUCGUGGAAUUUCUGGUGUAGAGGUGAAAUUCGUAGAUAUCAGAAGGAACACCGGUGGCGAAGGCGACGAACUGGAUAAAGACUGACGCUGAGAUGCGAAAGCGUGGGGAGCAAACAGG
rnacentral:rRNA from 1 species